AAAUUUAUUAUACCAACACUUAUUUUCAGUCUUAGUAACACUUAUGAAUCCACGCAAGCAUAUAUUCACAACCGAUGUGGGAGUCCGAAGGCUCAGUAUUAAUGGGCACACCCACUAAUUCGCAGACCUUUUGGCUACAUUGAAAAUCAAGUCUCACUUCUGAGGAUUUACUCUUUUCUUUUAAGAAUACGCACACACGAAAAUACAAGACUUACUGUAUCAAUACUCACUCUCAAGUAAUUACUGAUUGAGAGGAGUUUUAGCAACGCUUAUAAACCCACGUACAUAACACACUAAUCCAUUAUUGAUGUGAGAGCUCG
rnacentral:misc_RNA from 1 species